rnacentral:rRNA from 1 species
GACAGAGGGUGCAAACGUUGUUCGGAAUUACUGGGCGUAAAGCGUGUGUAGGCGGCCAUAUAAGUCGGAUGUGAAAGCCCUGGGCUCAACCCAGGAAGUGCACUCGAUACUGUAUGGCUUGAGUAUCGGAGAGGUGGUGGAAUUCUCGGUGUAGAGGUGAAAUUCGUAGAUAUCGAGAGGAACACCGGUGGCGAAGGCGGCCAACUGGACGAAUACUGACGCUGAGACACGAAAGCGUGGGGAGCAAACAGG